CAGUAAACAAAAUCAGAUGCAGACAAUGCCAAGGGCAGGGGAGCAGAUGCCUGGGGGGGCUGCAGAACAGGACUGAGGAAGCAGCUGCUCUGGCUCACGCAUGAGGGGAGGAGAAUCACCGACGUGUCUGCCACCAGAGAAGCUGGAGGCACCGGGAUAACAUGCUGGGAAGCGCAGUCCUUGACGCUGGACAGACCUGGGGCAUUGCCCUGGACGCCGGCAGAGUGGCAGAGUGGCCGUGGGGGCAAGGACGGAUGGCUACGGAGACCCUAGGGAAAGGGUGCGGGCCCGUGAGGCUCUUAAAGAAGAGGACAGAAGAAAUAAAAGGGGGGAGAGGAAGAUGGGAGAGCAGAAAGCUAUCUCAAAACAAUGAAAACUUUUAUCUGUCGAUCUGCAACAGGGAAAAAGGUGAUGCAGGAAGAUUGACAUCAUAAACCAUCUUAAUUAAGUAACUGACCUUGCAGAAUAGGGCAGGAUGUGUGGCGCCCAGAGAGAACACUGUCCGUCUGGCGGGAAGGGGUGCUGGCUUUCUUUCCAGCAAGCUCCAGUGGCUCAUGUUCCACCCUGGGGACACGUACAUUCUCGCCCUACAAUGCCUGACUUUGUUUAGUUGUGGUUCUAUGGGGGUGAUUCUUCAGCCAAGAAUCUGCAUUUCUGUUGUGAAAUAACAACAUUGGAUCAGGUGAAUUUGAAGACCUCCCUUGGCUUUAUUCAGUGAUUCUGGAUCUGGGCAGCAGCCCCUUCCCCACUGCCUCCAGGCAGGCAGGAGGAGGUGGUUACAGAACAGGAGGACCUAAGAGCAAGAGGAAAAGGUGGUUCCCUGGGGGUCUGGCCACCCACCUGACCUCAUCUCUCCUUGGGGUGGUGAGGGGACCUGGGCAACAGAUGGAAAGAAACAUUUCCCGACUGACAGAUUAAGGCCACAGCUCUGGGAGAGGUUGAAACUGGAAUUAGGUUGGGUAUUAAGCCCUGGUUUGGGAGCUCUGUCUAAGUGACACCAACUCAGCCAUCCAAGUGCCCCCAGAAAAGCCUGUUUUGAUUCAGUCUGUCUGGCCUCUGAUAAACUGUGCUCUACAUAUGGAAACUAUUCUCUGUGCAGGUUUACCUUGGGGACCAGAUUCGGGAAAGCAGAGUCUGAAGCAGAGUCUGAGCUUUGGGCUCAAAGGUGGAGGGACCUCCUGAAGCAUCUAAUUCCUGCAGACAUUCCCAACCAGGGUCUGAAUGGAGCAGCCUGCAGCAGCAAAGCGACUUUUUCCUCUCAAGCCCCCGGUAUUUUUCCCACGGACAAUAUUAAUCCCACAGAUCACAGGAGUGGUGGCAUCUGUAGGAACUCUCUUCUUGGGGCGCAGCUCAUGGACAAUAAACUGGCCACACACAACUGGAGCAAGCUGCUAUCAACUCCUGGAAACACAAAGAGAAGAGGCAUUUCUUUGGUGGUGACGUGUGAGAAGAUGGUGCCAAGACAGAAUAUGAUGUCUAGGACAUUAAAUUGCAAAGGAAAGGAAAUCAGAGGUUUUCCUUCUUCCCACUCUGGGAGUUAGCAGUUUCUAGCUCAGAAGAGCUGUGAUGUGGGUAUACAUUGCUACACACAUAUAAAGCCAUUUGUAGAAUGUACAUUUUACAUUUUUCCAAUAAAAUUUUUUCAGUUCUGAGAAGGUACA
rnacentral:lncRNA from 12 species